rnacentral:lncRNA from 1 species
UUUGAGUAUGGGGAUAUGGAUGAAUUUUUUCUUUAAGAAUGAUAUGGGAUAGCAAAACCUAUCUACGCUCCACCCCACCCUGUUGCCAUCCCCAGUGGAAGAGCGGUGUUAGUGGAGGAAGAAAGUCAAGUGGGGGAGAGAGGUGCACUAGUGGAGGAAGAAGAAAAGGCACCGAUGGAAGUGGAGAAAGAAAAUGUGCUAAUGGAGAUGGAAGAAGAAGAUGAAGGAAGAAUAUAAGGUAAAUGAAUCAUUUCACAACUUUAUUGGGUGGAAGAAGCUACCUUAAGAACAUUUGAAAUCCCAAGGUUUAAUAUAUUUUCUUUCCAAAAGAUCAAACGGGUAUUUUUUUUUUUCUCCAUUCUUAAUCGUAUGUCUAGACAAUUUGAGUACAGGAACCUUAUUAUUUGCCUAGGCGAAGGAAAUACCACUUUUUUUUAUUAUUAGUCUUAUUAUACAAAUGGGGUUAUUGGACAGAUUUUGUUGGACAAAUAUUAUCUGUCCUACACCUUUAUUGGACAGAUUUGUCCUGUCAACUAUUUUGUGUUGGUUUCUUGGGUAUGUUUUGCAUUUAACGAUUACCAAGAUUAAUCUAACUUUGAUUACAAUAAUAGCACUCAAAGCACCAAUGAUCAUGAAUCAAAGUUCUUUCCCUUGGCUAUCUGUUAUUGUGUUUUUUCAACCAUACAUAUUUGUGUUUCAAAACGUUAAUAAAUACUAAAGUUAUAUGCAUGUACCUUGUUAAACAGUCCAGCAAAAUAUCAAAGUAAAAUUCCUUUGCUGUUUAUGAUGAUACUAUAGUCUGAAUAGAUUUGGCAUUCAAAUAUUUAAUUUGAUAGAAUAGGGCUUGAAGGAUCAAAUCUGUGGCCUUGAUCCCCUUUAUAAUGGCACAAAAUAGGAUGCAAGCCAUUAUAAUGCAUGUUCCCUUACAUUCAAAACGAAAUGAAUGCAUUAAACUAUCAACUACACAGAAAGCAAGCAAGUAACUAACCUAAGCUUGGAAGGUGAAGUUGCAUUACCUUAGUUGACUUGUGGUGAAGGGAAAAAACGUUUUGCCAGCCAUUGGAAGGGUCUCAACAGUUGAGCUCUUUUCUUGCGCCAGAACCAAAUGGCAGCAUUGUAUUGUUCAUUGCGAACUAUUCGUGUGGCUUCCUUCCAAUCAUACUUCUCCAUCUCUUCACGUGCAGCUUUUGCCAUGGUUUCCCUCAACACGUUGUUGUGCAAAAGUGGCCUUAGUUUACUCAAGCAAUCUUCAAGAUCUCCAGGAUUAUACAAAUAGCUAGUUUUUCCAUCUUGAUCUGCAGGGAUUAUAUCAGGAAUACCUCCAGCACGUGCUGCCACCACAGGUAUCCCUGAAGACAUGGCCUCCAAAACCACAAAACCAAGUGUCUCUGACUCUGAAGGCAUGACAAACACAUCUCCACUAGCAUAUGCUUGGGACAGUUCUUCCCCUCUUAGCGUUCCAGUGAACACUGCAGGCAUACCUUUAAACAUUUUCUCUAGCUCCUCCCUGGUAGUUAACUCAUAUUACUAGAACUUGCCAAAGUCUUUAUUUAUGUUUAACAUUGCUUUAUCUAUGGAGUUAGAGGAGUAUAAUAUAUAUAAUAGAAGCACGACAUGUGGACUAAAGGCACCAGAAAGCACCAGACGGUUUUUUUUAAAAGAAGGGGUGUCAUUGUCAGAACUAGUCACCUGUAUGGUCCAUCACCAAUGAAAGCGAUUCGGGCUUCAGGAAGCCUAUCCAUGAGCCUGCCAAAAGCAAUGAGUGCCCUUUUAGCUCUGGUAAAUCAAUAACCAACAAUGAGCAGUUUUUGCUGCCCUUCCAGUUUUAUAUUCUGAAUUUUUAAGAUUGACUGGAAAUCUUGAAUGCAAAUACUUAUCUAAGCUAUGAAAACCUCAUAAUGAUGUUCACUACCUUUUGAGAAAAUCUAAACUCUUCUCUACUCCAAGCCGUCCAACAUGAACUAUCAAGGGUUUCUCAGGUUCACCAUCGCUGUAUGAUAAUGUUUAAGGAUAAGAUGAAAUGCCAUCAUUACCAAAACCUGAACACAAGUAAAAAGAAAAAAGGAUAGUCCAAACCUUAGUCUUAAUCGCAUUUCAUAUGAGCAGUAUCGGGGAUGGAAUUUUUCAGAAUCAACACCCUUGUUCCAAAGACGAAUCUUGUUAGCUGGAUUCCAAGAAGGGAACAACUCCGUCAAAAUUUUGCAGCAUAAUGGUAAACAUGACAAGAAAGAAUAUUUUCAGAUGCUAUUACCAACUAAGAACAGUUAAAAGACUAGAUGAGAAGAUUUUAUGUUCACCUGCUGUGACUCUCGCUGCUAGGAGAUCCCCUGCUAUGGCAGCAGAUGGAACCAGAGUCAGAUCAGCUGCUCUGUGAAGAAAUUCUACAUCAACAAAAAAGAUUAAUGUUAUAUAUUUACCAAUAUUUGAGUCCGAAUUAAGAAGAAUAAAAAAGAAAGUAUGCAUACUUAUGAUCAACCACAUGGGUUUUACCAACCAGCUAAAGGUAUAUCUUGGAAUAUACCUGAAAACUAAACAAGAUCAGCCAUAAGUAAUACAUGAUUUAAGAAAUUCUGGCAUCGUAGGAUCAUAUCAUAUCAGAAUUAAUAUAAGCGGAAGUGACAUGUGAUAAGUGUAAUAACUUGUUUUAUCAUGCACUGAACCUCUUUAUGUGUAUUCAUGCUAUGAACUCUUCGCAUUUUGGUAUUAAAAGUCAUAUUUAAACAUUUUCUUUGUUAUAGAAGUGAUUGUUACUGCGUGUUUUAUAGAGAAAUGGAAGCUUGAAACCAUGGAAUAUUGUAGUCAACUCUGGCCCCUCUCCAAACGAACAAAAGCCUCGCCCAACAAGAGUGUAGACAUGUUCGCUGGGCUAAUCCAACUUUCUGCAUUGAUACCAAAGUAGACUCUUGCCCAGCAAAAGUCUACCUUUUGGAAGUGAACUAAAAAGUGAAAACUUAACGUGUUGCAAUAUACUUUUGGAGGGAGAACACAAAAAACACCUUAGGGAGCUGCUGCACGAGAGAAAAUGCCUAGCAGGGACUUCCAAAGCUCAUCAUUCUCUUUGCCAAUUUUUUGUACACAUAAUGGCUUAGAGUAGCCAACUCCCCCCCUUUCAUUAAGGUUGUAUGUGAUGAAUCUCUUCUAUGUAUAGUUUUUCAUUUGAAAUAUAAAUCUUUUUACAUGAUUCUUGUGCUUUUUCUUGAUGCUUAAUGUUACAUGGCUUAAUCAUCUAUGCUCUGGGUUGUUUUUAAACAUUGGAAAAAAUUUAGAACUUGUUCCUCUAGACUCGGCAACUUAGGGUAUAAUAUUAGACAUAAUAUAUUAUCUCUAUGAAGCAUUCUAUAACACUUGAUCCACAUGCAAACUUUGUGUAAGAAGAACUAAGAAAUUGGUAUUUUUGCAUUAAUGUUUAGAAUUCGCCUCUAAGGAAUUAGGGUUAGUGAGCUUUUUGUAUGAAUGCUGGAGUCAUUUUAGAGAUGUACUGGUUAGAGAAAGUGUACUGAGAUGAAUUCAUGAAAUCCAACCUUGAUGAAUCUUUAUCCUAGUCAGGUUAUAUAAUCCAAAGUUUGGUUGUUUUGAUUGUUUUAAUCUAUAAUUACCUCACCCUCUAAUUCUAAUGAAUCUCUGUUUUUAAAGUCUUUUGUCAAAAACUAGUAAAAUUUCACAUUAAACACACAAAUCUCUUAGGAAAUGAUAUUUGAACUUUCAAAUACUACUUGUAUGAAUAGUAUACCUACCAAAGAGUUAAUAACAAGCAAAUUAAAAUGAUAAAUACAUUCAGAAAAUAUGUAACUUGAAUAGAACUCACACAGGUACAUGGGUGUGGUAGGACAUGACAAUAGGAACACACAAUAGUUUUGCAAUGAUAAGAGCUCCAAAAACCUGAAAGUAUGCCAGCAGUAGAUAUGUUAUGUGACAAAUAAGUCAUAUACUAACCCGAAAAGAUAUAACAAAUGAGAAGAUAGAGGAAUUGCAGACCAACCAUUAUGCCUGGCGAAGAUGCAUGAAUUAUGUCAGGCUUAAACCGGGCUACCUCUGAAAUUAUUCUGGGACUAAGUGCCAAGGAGAGGGGUACCUUCUGAUACAAUGGGCAGGGAAAGCUGCAUUUCUCAAUGGGGUUUGGUAUAAAUGCAAAUUAUUAGUAUAAAAAGCAUGGUCGUGCUAGUUGCUGGAAAAAGUGUUGAUUGCGUAAAAAAACCAAUAAAAUCUUGCAAUCUUAGAAGUUAGAAUGGUUAUAAACACAAAUUUCAUAUGCUUCUUUUGCUCUUCUUCACAUAGAAAACCUUGUAAUUACAUUAGGAUAUUUAUGAUUCUUGCGAUUAUUACAUUAACUCUAUAAUAGAGUCUCCACUGUGUAAUUCAUGCACAGAUAUUUCCUCAUACGUAUCCACAAUAAUAAUCAUAUCCUUAGAGAGCGUCUCAAAUUGAAUCAAUAAUACUGGGAAGGGAUUAUAGUAGAAAAUGUCAAAAUGUCUUCACAUUCUAAAUUGGAUAUCAAAAUAUCAAAAAUCCACAAGCGAUGAUACUAGAGAAAUUUAAGACUGAGUGCACAAAUAUAUAACAGCAGAAUAUGAGGCAUGGGAAUGACAGUUGCCAAAUAUAUGCACUGAAUAAAAGAAAGAAACAAUAAUUAACCUCACGAUAGAAGGAUAAAAGAAUUGUGAUUUAAAGCAAAAAAAUGAGUAUUACAAGUAGAACAAAGGAUUGAGAAAGUGAAAAAUGAGCUUUAACCUCCAAGAUCCAAUUAAUUUGGCUCCAUAAAAUUCCUGGGGCACUCCCUCAUGUGUUGUCACAACCAUCACCUAUAACAGACAAAUAAACAUAACAGUUAGCAUGUAAUAUAAAAGAAAAAAAAAAUACAGGACAAAUGUUUCAACUCUAUGACUAUAAUGCGCAGAAGCUAUCUAAUCUAAAUUUUGAGUUUUUUCGAUAAUGUAUAUAAAGGAAAUAAAUAUGAGCGUACAUAGAAACAUAAGUACAAAAAGUUACCUCAUCUCCCAUUUCGCGAAGGCAUUUGAUGAAGUUUUGAAACCGGUUUUUGUAUCCUGAGACAUAUCUGCAAAAUAGACAAUUUUGAAAACACAUUUUUCCUGAAUUCAUAUGCUGCUAAUACCACACAUCUUCCGAAAAAUGAAUAAUGCAGAUUAUAGCUCAAACGUAUUUGGAGUGCAAUGAAGAGAGAAGCUAGAACCUCGGUGGAGCAAUUGUUCAUC